rnacentral:misc_RNA from 1 species
UGACAAGAAACAAUUAUAUUCUUGAGAAGAAAAAUUCCUGUUCCUUUAAACAAAUUUUCUUCGAUAUAUCUAACAUUUCUUUGCACGCAUGUCAUCGCAGGAUUUUGUUGUUGCAAUGCAUAUUUCUUUGCGACAGUUAACUAUCUUUCUCAGAGUAUUAAUUUUAUUUAUUAAUCGUUUAUUUAUAUGGGUGGUAGCUCACUGUUGAAUCUAGAUUCAUCGUAAAUGUUCUCAACUAUAAAACCUUCCUCACGAGGCAAAGAAUCUUGGAACUGGGAAAACCAUAUAAUCAAUAUUCAAAAGAAAAUAUGUAUCUGGGAGAUGCCCUUGCUGUCAACGCGUUUAACCAACGCAAAUUAAAUUUAAUAUCUAUAUUAGCAGGAAUAAUUGACUGGCCGUAUUAUCUCCCCGAAAUGCCUGAUUCCAUGCAAUACGGUGCUCUCGGUGCAACAAUUGGACAUGAACUAUCCCAUGCUUUCGAUACUGAUGGUGUUCAUAUGGAUUAUUUAGGCGAAAGGGCGCAAAUAUGGUCCCCAGAAGCUUAUCGGACAUUUGAGUCUAAGGCUCAUUGUUUCAUUGAUCAGUUUAAUGCAUAUCAAUACACAGAAUUGGAGGUUCUUGGUCGAGUAGAAUUCGCCAACGGGGCCACAACGUGUGAUGAAAAUAUGGCAGAUAGUGCAGGAGUUAUAGCGAGCUUUGAAGCUUUCAAAAGAAGCUCGAGGAAACGCGAGAAAGGCUUUAAAACUCUCCACGGACUGCAGAACUUCACCAGCGAGCAAUUGUUCUUCCUGGCAUUCGCAAAUGUGAGAUGCGCAUUUACGUCGCCAUAUUAUCUGUCCUAUCUCAUACAAUUUCGUCAGUCUCACAGUUUUCCGCGAUUGAGAGUUAUUGGAUCUUUGUCGAAUAUGAAAGAAUUCAGCGAAGCGUUUAAAUGCCCGAAAGGAAGUCCCAUGAAUCCAGAUACGAAAUGUGUUUUAUGGAAUUAGUGCGAAGAAUUCCUGGAAGAAAAAUCAGAAAUUGGCUUCUUUAUGCCGUCUGAAAGAUUUGAGAUAAGAGACCUUUUUCAUGAGCCUCGAAUUGUAAGUACUUCUGCAUCUUCUCUCUCUGUUUCGAAUAAUUGAAAGAUUGUAUUUUCCAGUAUAGUGUUCACUUAAUUCAUUAUUACAUUAACUUUGAAGCCAAAACCAGGAUGCACAGUUUCUCAAAUAAAUCCUCGGAAAAUUCCUUCGGCGAUAAAUUUUGAUCCACUCAUAGGCUAGAUGUCCGAACAUGAUGCUUAAUAUGUAUGUAUAUAAAAUGGAAUAAAAUUGAGGGAUAAUGUGAAGAAAAUUCAAACUCUGAAAAUAAAGACCACCCUAAGGCGACAGCGAACAGUUUUUUUAGGAAGAAUUGGCCUGCUGAGAACGGGCGUCAAUGGCCGCGUGAAUCCGCCGCACAUCGUGACAUACUUUUUCGUAUUUUACUCGGAAAUAGUCAGUCAUACGAGAAAAUAUCGUAGAUAAUAAAACAUGCAUUUCUAUCAAGUCUACAUCUUUUGUAUGAACCUUGUUUGCAUAUAACUAAUAUUUUCCAAGAUAAACCAAUGAAAUUGAUUUUUCAUUUAACUUCAUGGCUUUUCCAUGUUCAAGGACACAGAGGCAGCCUGUGCCUUUAUCCGAUUGAGUUCAAACUUUGCAGGAAUUAUUUUUACAUAAAACGGAACCAAACAAGAGGAUAAUGUGAAGAAAAUUCAAACUUUGAAA